rnacentral:rRNA from 1 species
CCUACGGGAGGCAGCAGUGAGGAAUAUUGGUCAAUGGGCGGAAGCCUGCACCAGCCAAGUCGCGUGAGGGAAUAAGGCCCUACGGGUCGUAAACCUCUUUUGCCGGGGAGCAAGGGCCGGGACGCGUCCCGGCCCGGAGAGUACCCGGAGAAAAAGCAUCGGCUAACUCCGUGCCAGCAGCCGCGGUAAUACGGAGGAUGCGAGCGUUAUCCGGAUUUAUUGGGUUUAAAGGGUGCGUAGGCGGGCUUUUAAGUCAGCGGUAAAAAUUCGGGGCUCAACCCCGUCCGGCCGUUGACACGGGGGGCCUUGAGUGGGCGAGAAGAAGGCGGAAUGCGUGGUGUAGCGGUGAAAUGCAGAGAGAUCACGCAGAACUCCGAUUGAGAAGGCAGUAUACCGGCGCCCAACUGACGCUGAAGCACGAAAGCGUGGGUAUCGAACAGGAUUAGAUACCCGUGUAGUC